AAUGGAGUGCCUGAAAAAAGGAUUAUUUUGAUAGAAUAAAUCAUGUGAAUAGACACCUUCAUUA
rnacentral:tRNA from 1 species